rnacentral:tRNA from 1 species
GGGGCGUUAGCUCAGCCUGGUAGAGCACCUGCCUUUUAAGCAGAGGGUCGACAGUUCGAAUCUGUCACGCCCCACCA